CCUACGGGAGGCAGCAGUGAGGAAUAUUGGUCAAUGGCCGAGAGGCUGAACCAGCCAAGUCGCGUGAGGGAAGACGGCCCUACGGGUUGUAAACCUCUUUUGUCGGGGAGCAAAGCGAACCACGUGUGGUUCAUUGAGAGUACCCGAAGAAAAAGCAUCGGCUAACUCCGUGCCAGCAGCCGCGGUAAUACGUAGGUGGCGAGCGUUAUCCGGAAUGAUUGGGCGUAAAGGGUGCGUAGGCGGCCUGCUAAGUCUGGAGUGAAAGGUACCGGCUCAACCGGUACAGGCUCUGGAAACUGGCGGGG
rnacentral:rRNA from 1 species